GACGAACGCUGGCGGCGUGCCUAAUACAUGCAAGUAGGACGCAGUUGCGAACGGGUGAGUAACGCGUAGGUAACUACCUAUUAGAGGGGGCUAACUAUUGGAAACGAUAGCUAAUACCGCAUACUAGUAGAUGGACCUGCGUUGUAUUAGCUAGUAGGUCGGGUAAUGGCCUACCUGGGCAACGAUACAUAGCCGGCCGGAAAAGGGGAACGGCCACACUGGGACUGGGAAACGGCCCAGACUGCUACGGGGAGGAGCAGUAGGGAAUCUUAGGCAAUGGGGGGAAAGCUGACCGAGCAACGCCGCGGGAGUGAAAAAAGGUUUCCGAUCGGAAAGCUCUGUUGUUAGGGAAGCGGUACUUAACCAGAAAGGAACGGCUAACUACGUGCCAGCAGCCGCGGUAAUAC
rnacentral:rRNA from 1 species